rnacentral:rRNA from 1 species
GAUGAACGUUGGCGGCGUGCCUAACACAUGCAAGUCGAACGCUGGUAGCAAUAUCAGAGUGGCGCACGGGUGAGUAACACGUAGCUUACCUACCUCAAAGCGCGGGAUAACGUUCCGAAAGGAAUGCUAAUACCGCAUAAGCUCGCGGUCUGUAGAGGGCUGAGAGAAAAGGGGCAACUCACUUUGAGAUGGGGCUGCGGCCCAUCAGCUGGUUGGUGAGGAACGGCUUACCAAGGCAACGACGGGUAGGGGACCUGAGAGGGU